rnacentral:rRNA from 1 species
CACACCGCCCGUCACACCAUGAGAGUUGGUAACACCCGAAGUCCGUGAGGUAACCAGUAAUGGAGCCAGCGGCCGAAGGUGGGAUUGAUGAUUGGGGUG